UGGGGAAUAUUGCACAAUGGGGGAAACCCUGAUGCAGCCAUGCCGCGUGUGUGAAGAAGGCCUUCGGGUUGUAAAGCACUUUCAGCGAGGAGGAAAGGGGUGAUGCUAAUACCAUCAUCCUGUGACGUUACUCGCAGAAGAAGCACCGGCUAACUCCGUGCCAGCAGCCGCGGUAAUACGGAGGGUGCAAGCGUUAAUCGGAAUAACUGGGCGUAAAGCGCACGCAGGCGGUCGGAUAAGUCAGAUGUGAAAGCCCCGGGCUCAACCUGGGAACUGCAUUUGAAACUGUUCGACUAGAGUCUUGUAGAGGGGGGUAGAAUUCCAGGUGUAGCGGUGAAAUGCGUAGAGAUCUGGAGGAAUACCGGUGGCGAAGGCGGCCCCCUGGACAAAGACUGACGCUCAGGUGCGAAAGCGUGGGGAGCAAACA
rnacentral:rRNA from 1 species